rnacentral:rRNA from 1 species
AGAGUUUGAUCAUGGCUCAGGACGAACGCUGGCGGCGUGCUUAACACAUGCAAGUCGAACGGGGCAUAGAGAUAUGCCUAGUGGCGGACGGGUGAGUAACACGUGAGCAAUCUAUCCUAUACAACGGGAUAACACAGAGAAAUUUGUACUAAUACGGUAUAAGACCACAUUCCGGCAUCGGAGAGGGGUAAAAGCUGAGGCGGUAUAGGAGGAGCUCGCGUCCCAUUAGCUAGUUGGAGAGGUAACGG